GGGGAGGCGGCUUUUAAUCAGCUGACCAACAAAGGCCUCUAGAAAGAACAUGUUUUGUGGAGAGGCGCUCAGAACAAGAGACACCCGGGACCUCCCUACAUGGGACAAAUUGAUCGAACCCCAAAGCAAACCAGAGGGAGUUGACCGUGUCCACCGUCUCGGCUCUGUUUCUCUCUCUGACUCAGGGCUUCUGCCUCUCCCCCCUCACCUUCCCUCUCCAUCGUCCCUUCUCCUCUCUGCUCCCAACCCCAGCUCUGACCCCUUUGGGAUGGUACGCCCGGAUCCCAGAAGUGGCCGGGGAUCAGGACGAGGGAAAAACUCACUGGGAGAGGCCGGACAGGCUGCGUCUUCCGUGGGAUCGGCCGAUCAUGUCUGCGGAUGAGAAGCCCAUUGUUGUUUGCCCUUGGAAAGCUCCAUAUUGAUCUGGGAUUCCCAGGAUGCCAUUGGCGUGCAGUAAGUGCCAGGGUCCCCGCUGGCGUUCGUCAGGAGGAUUCCAUUCGCUUAAUGACAAGGGACUGCUUUCAUGGCCCCAGAGUUCGCGGGGCCCGCCCCUUGCCAGGAAGAGAAAGAGCCCGGAGGACCUGGGUUCUAAUCCCAGCUCUGCCACUUGCCCGCUGGGGGACCUCAGUGUUUUAGUUGGAUCUCGGCUAUGGUGGGAGAUGUCAUCUGAGAGAGGGAGGCCCUCCCCACCCCCGCCUUUGCUAGAGGACUGAACCUCUCGCCUCGACAGUGGUUCUCUUAACGGAAGCACUGGGCCAUCCUGAACUGGUGUUAUUUCGCUGGACAGCUACCUCGGCUAUUUGCCGGAGUCACUGCCUGACCCGGAAUAAUUUUGAGAAAGAGGCUGGGCUGGAGAAGGCUCCUUUAAACCUCUGAAAAGCAGUGGCCUUUGCAUUCCUAGACAAAUCUCCCAAACUACUCUGAAAACUGGAGCUGGACUUGACGAUCCUAGGUUCAGAAAAAGACUGACUUCUCCUGAGUCCUAAUCACUUCCUUUUUCCUCAGACUCGGCUGGCUCUGAACUUCUCCUAUGGCUCACCCUUAGGCUGAUAAACUUGUAUCUAUCCCAGAGCUUAGAGCAGUGCUUGACACAUAGUAAGUGCUUAAAUACCAUUAAAAAAUACAAUCCACCAGCAAAGUCUAUUUCUAUGCAGACUAGGUCCACGUUAACACGGCUAAGUGUCUUCCUGGAUUUCAAAGCUAACUGAAAGCAGUGUCCAGGGUGAGAAUUGCUUUGGCAACAUGAAUCAUUAAAAUACAGGUCUGAAUACUCUUUCCACACAGGACACACUCAAUAAAUAUGUUUGAAUAAA